AUUUUGCUGGAGUUUCCUCUGUACCUGAGGCCUUCUGAAGGUUGUGAAAAAUGGGACUUCGGUAACAAUGACGGAUUGGCCUACUUCAGUUUUGGCUAUGAGAGUAACAGAUUUUUUUUUCUUAUGUUCAGAUAGAAUGUGAGUGUUCCAAACUGUUCCCAGUAACUGCAGACCAGUUGGGUGGAGGCAUAUAGAGCUGCCAAAUGUAUCAACCUCUUUUCAGCCUCAGCUGAAAGAACUCCUGUUAUAUACAUGAUUUAUUUCAGUGAUAAUUUACUUCUGCUACACACACAAAGUACCUUUAUGUGGUCCUGUUGAUAUCUAAUAACCAGCUUUAGAAUUUGCUUUAGAAUUUGGUAGCAACUGAUGUUUCCCUUUUAAAAUACAUUUAAUCUAUUAAUACAAGAUAUGUUUUAGUAAUUAAUUUAAUCUAACUAUAUCCUGUUAUCUUUAUUACAGUAAUUACAAUGUCUGAUGACCAGAAUAAAUCACUGCAAUAAAGUAAUCUUCAAUUCUAAAAUUGUGAUGAGGAAAGAAAUGGCAUUGCUCAGCCUAACUGGAGUAACUCCUUUUCAACACAGGAGGGGGGUACUCUUUGUUAUAGGAACUACAUGUGUGGUAACUCUUUAGAAGAGCUAUUAAAUGGAAAAUCAUUAAAACAUUAUCAAGUG
ensembl:lncRNA